CUGAAGACUUGGUUGCUGGAUGUAGCCUAGGACUGGACAGUGUGCAGGCCGGGGUCCGCGCGCCACUUUUCCCACUUUUUCCACCUUCAGAGUAGUUCCGGGAGGUACAUACAUGAUGGAAGAGGGAAGUCAGUACAGCAGUAACAGUGGAGAAAACUGAUAAGAGCGCUUCAGGUUGGGCAAGUGAUCAAGAACGCCUAUGAAGUCAUGGUGAUAACCUGUGUCCCUUAUUGCAUGAUGACAAUGUUUCCUCGCCUCUACAACCUUCCACCUGAAAAUCCACAGCCCUUACUGAUGAGAAAAGAAAUUAGAAAAGUGGACUGCCCAUCAGAGGUGAGGGUUCUGCCUGGAGCUGAAGACUGCAGGCCCUUAGGGGUACACCUAAGGGAGGGGUAAACAGAGACCCUGGGAGAAGAGACUGAAGCGCAU